rnacentral:rRNA from 1 species
GAUGAACGCUAGCGGCAGGCCUAACACAUGCAAGUCGAGGGGUAACAUAGGAAAGCUUGCUUUUCUGAUGACGACCGGCGCACGGGUGCGUAACGCGUAUACAACCUACCUUUUAGCGGGGAAUAGCCCAGGGAAACUUGGAUUAAUGCCCCAUAGUAUAUGGACUUCUCCUGAAGUUUAUAUUAAACAUUUAUGGCUAUUAGAUGGGUAUGCGUCCUAUUAGUUAGUUGGUAAGGUAACGGCUUACCAAGGCAGCGAUAGGUAGGGGUCCUGAGAGGGAGAUCCCCACACUGGUACUGAGACACGGACCAGACUCCUACGGGAGGCAGCAGUGAGGAAUAUUGGACAAUGGGCGAGAGCCUGAUCCAGCCAUGCCGCGUGCAGGAAGACUGCCCUAUGGGUUGUAAACUGCUUUUACAGAGGAAGAACCACCCCCACGUGUGGGGGUUUGACGGUACUCUGCGAAUAAGGAUCGGCUAACUCCGUG